ensembl:lncRNA
CAGCCAGAGCGCGAAACGUCAGUUUAACGUAAAAGAGAGCGAGAACAACGUCACACACCGUGGCCUUGAGUGAGCAGCAGUCUAGAGUGAGCCACGGCCGGCUUGAAUGAGCAGAGGCGGGCAGUUUGAGAACGGUGCGGCAGGCGGACUCUACGAAGGCACGUACCUUGGUCUUGCAUCAACCACAUGUGACGACCCCAGGCUGGACGCCGCUUCGUCCACAGUGAAAGCUGAUUCGGCGAUCCACAGCACAAAGUUGUUGUAUUUUCUUAGCGACCAGCAUGGAUCAGUUCCAGGCAUGACGAAAUGGAUAUCAUCCUCUUUUGGAAGGCCAUACAAAGUAGUUUCGCUAUCACAGUGAAACACACAGCUUCUAUACGACAUGGCGGCAAGAAUAAAAGGUCAGAAAGUCCAACUCCAUGAGCUACCAUGACAGAUUUCAAAUAAAAAAAUUCAGGGGGUUCCUGCACCAGCCAGACUGUGUCAUUGAGUGGUGGGAAACGCAUGACAGGUGUGCAGUGAGAGAUGGUUCCAUGCCGUCGCCGCUUCCCCUGGGCGUGACCGCGGUCAGACUGCUGUUCCAGCCCGAUGGGUUCAGGUACCCAUGUGGCCAAGAGAAGAAAAUACGAGAAAAAGAGACGAUUAACAUGAGACUGCUUUGACACUGCUAAUUUAGGAAAAACUGUGAGUGAUUUUGUUGUAAAAAGAAGAAAUAAUAUAAGGGAGAAAAAGAAAAGAUGAAUUUAAGUCAUUUUACUUUUAUUAGCCCCUUUACAGCCCCUUUACUUGUGUUUUUUCUAUCAAGACAACUCUUGGAAGCUUUAAGCAUGGUAAUGUAUAUGCCAAUGUUAAUAUAUUUGUUCUUGCCAGAAUAGGUCUUCUGUGCUGCUGGAUUUCUGCUGUUGUUGUAGAUUAUUACUGCAAAAAAAAAAAAAAAUAAAGGAAAUUGCUACUGCCAAUAGACACACAUAUACGCACACACACAUGUAUAUACUGUGUAUAUAUAUAUAUAUAUAUAUAUAUAUAUAUAUAUAUAUAUAUAUAUAUAUAUACACACACACACAACCUGUAACUGGAAGGUUUGUAAAACAUU